UACAGGGGGUGCAAACGUUGCUCGGAAUCAUUGGGCGUAAAGGGUGCGUAGGUGGCGCUGUAAGUCGGGUGUGAAAUUUCGGAGCUUAACUCCGAAACUGCAUUCGAUACUGCGGUGCUUGAGGACUGGAGAGGAGACUGGAAUUCAUGGUGUAGCAGUGAAAUGCGUAGAGAUCAUGAGGAAGACCAGUGGCGAAGGCGGGUCUCUGGACAGUUCCUGACACUGAGGCACGAAGGCCAGGGGAGCAAACAGG
rnacentral:rRNA from 1 species